GAUGAACGCUGGCGGCGUGCCUAAUACAUGCAAGUCGAGCGAAUGGAUUAAGAGCUUGCUCUUAUGAAGUUAGCGGCGGACGGGUGAGUAACACGUGGGUAACCUGCCCAUAAGACUGGGAUAACUCCGGGAAACCGGGGCUAAUACCGGAUAACAUUUUGAACCGCAUGGUUCGAAAUUGAAAGGCGGCUUCGGCUGUCACUUAUGGAUGGACCCGCGUCGCAUUAGCUAGUUGGUGAGGUAACGGCUCACCAAGGCAACGAUGGGUAGCCGACCUGAGAGGGUGACCGGCCAGACUGGGACUGAGACCCGGCCCAGACUCCUACGGGAGGCAGCAGUAGGGAAUCUUCCGCAAUGGACGAAAGUCUGACGGAGCAACGCCGCGUGAGUGAUGAAGGCUUUCGGGUCGUAAAACUCUGUUGUUAGGGAAGAACAAGUGCUAGUUGAAUAAGCUGGCACCUUGACGGUACCUAACCAGAAAGCCACGGCUAACUACGUGCCAGCCGCCGCAGUAA
rnacentral:rRNA from 1 species